CUACGGGAGGCACCAGUGGGGAAUAUUGCACAAUGGGCGCAAGCCUGAUGCAGCAACGCCGCGUGAACGAAGAAGGUCUUCGGAUCGUAAAGUUCUUUUCUUAGGGAAGAAAAAUGACGGUACCUAAGGAAUAAGCACCGGCUAAAUACGUGCCAGCAGCCGCGGUAAUACGUAUGGUGCAAGCGUUAUCCGGAAUCACUGGGCGUAAAGGGAGCGUAGGCGGUUUUGCAAGUCAGAAGUGAAAGGCUACGGCUCAACCGUGGUAAGCUUUUGAAACUGCAAGACUAGAGUGCAGGAGAGGCAAGUGGAAUUCCUAGUGUAGAGGUGAAAUUCGUAGAUAUUAGGAGGAACACCAGUGGCGAAGGCGACUUGCUGGACUGUAACUGACGCUGAGGCUCGAAAGCGUGGGGAGCGAACAGGAUUAGAUACCCGAGUAGUC
rnacentral:rRNA from 1 species